rnacentral:rRNA from 1 species
GAUGAACGCUGGCGGCGUGCUUAACACAUGCAAGUCGAACGGUCUCUUCGGAGAUAGUGGCGGACGGGUGAGUAACGCGUGAGAAUCUGCCUUUAGGUUCGGGACAACAGUUGGAAACGACUGCUAAUACCGAAUGUGUCGCAAGAUGAAAGAUUUAUUGCCUAAAGAUGAGCUCGCGUCUGAUUAGCUAGUUGGUGGGGUAAAAGCGUACCAAGGCGACGAUCAGUAGCUGGUCUGAGAGGAUGAUCAGCCACACUGGGACUGAGACACGGCCCAGACUCCUACGGGAGGCAGCAGUGGGGAAUUUUCCGCAAUGGGCGAAAGCCUGACGGAGCAACGCCGCGUGAGGGAGGAAGGCUUUUGGGUUGUAAACCUCUUUUAUCAAGGAAGAUAAUGACGGUACUUGAUGAAUCAGCAUCGGCUAACUCCGUGCCAGCAGCCGCGGUAAUACGGAGGAUGCAAGCGUUAUCCGGAAUAAUUGGGCGUAAAGCGUUCGUAGGUGGUUUUGCAAGUCUGCUGUUAAAGCGUGUAGCUUAACUACAUAAUGGCGGUGGAAACUGCAAAACUAGAGUGCGUUCGGGGCAGAGGGAAUUCCUGGUGUAGCGGUGAAAUGCGUAGAUAUCAGGAAGAACACCGGUGGCGAAGGCGCUCUGCUAGGCCGCAACUGACACUGAGGGACGAAAGCUAGGGGAGCGAAUGGGAUUAGAU